rnacentral:lncRNA from 1 species
ACCCUAAACUGAACUUUUCCCUUUAAUCAGGAUUAGGGUUUUAAACCCUAAACUGAACUUUUUCCCUUUAGUCAGCAUUAGGGUUUUAAACCCUAAACUGAACUUUUCUUUUAGUCAGCAUUAGGGUUUUAAACCCUAAACUGAACUUUUCCUUUAGUCAGCAUUAGGGUUUCAAACCCUAAACUGAAUUUUUCCAGAAUCAGCAUUAGGGUUUUAAACCCUAAACUGAACUUUUCCCUUUAGUCAGCAUUAGGGUUUUAAACCCUAAAUUAAACUUUCCCAUUCAGUCGGAAUUAGGGUUUUAAACCCUAAACU